AUGUCAUUGAAAAUGACAGAAAACUAUUUCAAAAAUGAAGCAAAAUGUAAUUCAAACGUAAAUUAAUGCUUUCAGUAUGACUGUUUAAGUGUUUUCGACAACAUCAAUGGUUUUUAUGACAUCAUUUAAAAAAAGAAUUGCACUUGCACAUAUCUUUUUGUUUUCAUCCGUCAUCAUCACAUUAAAAAAAAUUAAGCAUUGCAAAACACAUUGAGAAAUACAGAAUGACUGGAUAAGAUGAUUCCAUCUCCAUCCUUAUAAAGAGACGGGUAACUCACGACUGCUCAGCAGAGACGUCCACAUCACCUCUAGAUCUCACAGUGCUCACUUUGCUGUCUUUGACACCAGUUUUUUAGGGUUCUGACAAACAAGCUGUGGAAAGGAUGAAGGGUGUUAUGAUCUUUCUGGUGUUGAUGCUGGUCGUCAUCAUGGUUGAUGCUGAGGAGAGUCGUCCUCAAAAUGAUGGUGUCCGCCUGCCGCCCCGGCGCAUAGCCAUACCUGGACUGUAUAUCAGAUUUGGAGCAUCUCAAGAUGAAGUGGCCAACGAUAAACUGAGGCGAUACUAUGAAAACUGAGUCUGUUCUUGAUUUUGAAGAUAUAGUUUGAGCUAUAUCUUUGUGCUUUGCAAAGCAAGAAAUAAUUGGAUGUGUAAACAUGAAGCUCUUGAGAUGUAGUGAUUUUAGUCACAGCUACAACUGAUAGUGAAAACUAUCCUGUUGAAUAAAGCUGCAUUCCAAAAGACCGUCUGUGUGUUGUGGUGUUAUUUAAGUGAACAUAUGUUUGUAAUUUUACUGGUGAUGAUGAUCAAGAACAUUGUUUUUCAUCAAUUCGGAGGUCAAUGUUUAUAUUAAGUAGAUCUAAAUAAUAAGUGUGUUGGUGUGAUCAGUUUAUUGAAUAAACUCUCUUCCUAUUAACUAAUAAAUCUAAAUGUUGAUGAUGUCAUUUGACAGAAAACUAUUUCAAAAAUGAAGCGAAAUAGGUGAGCAGGUGGUCGAGUGGUUAGAGCGCAUGCUACAUACGCAGCUGACCUCGGUUCGAUUCCGGCCAGAGGUCCUUUGCUGCAUGUCAUAUC
rnacentral:lncRNA from 1 species